rnacentral:lncRNA from 1 species
AUAAAGCAUUGAAAAUUCUCAUAACCCCUAAGGCAACACUGAUAUAAAACCAAAACACCUUUAUUAUUGAUAGUAGAGUCAAAAACUUAACAACUCAGAGAAUGCAAACAAAGCCAUAAUGAAAUGCUUAAAACCAAAAUAAGAAACAUUAUUGAAACUUGAAACUUCAAUGAAAUAAAAAUCAAAUGCAGAAAACUUGAAGCUCCAUGCUUCAACCUUCACCCGCCUUCACCUUCACCCGCCUUCUUCCACUUCAUGCUUCGACCUUGAAGCUUCAAUCAUCAAGCGUCUGUGCUUGAAACUCUACAACAUAAAAACAAAGCAUAAGAAAGGAGCUCAUAGCAUAAACAAAUACUACACAUAAGACAAUAUAAAGAAAGUAAGUGAAAAGAUAGACAUACUUUUCUGAAGUCGAUCAAGCAAC